rnacentral:rRNA from 1 species
GAUGAACGCUGGCGGCGUGCCUAAUACAUGCAAGUCGAGCGAACGGACGAGAAGCUUGCUUCUCUGAUGUUAGCGGCGGACGGGUGAGUAACACGUGGAUAACCUACCUAUAAGACUGGGAUAACUUCGGGAAACCGGCGCUAAUACCGGAUAAUCUUUUGAACCGCAUUGUUCAAAAGUGAAAGACGGUCUUGCUGUCUCUUAUCGAUGGAUCCGCGCUGCAUUAGCUAGUUGGUAAGGUAACGGCUUACGAAGGCAACGAUGCAUAGCCGACGGGAGAGGGGGAUCGGCCACACUGGAACUUGGACACGGUCCAGACUCCUACGGGAGGCAGCAGUAGGGAAUCGUCCGCAAUGGGCGAAAGCCUGACGGAGCAACGCCGCGUGAGUGAUGAAGGUCUUCGGAUCGUAAAACUCUGUUAUGAGGGAAGAACAUAUGUGUAAGUAACUGUGCACAUCUUGACGGUACCUAAUCAGAAAGCCACGGCUAACUACGUG